rnacentral:rRNA from 1 species
UACGAAGGGGCUAGCGUUGUUCGGAAUCACUGGGCGUAAAGGGCGCGUAGGCGGCUUUAUAAGUCGGGGGUGAAAGCCUGUGGCUCAACCACAGAAUUGCCUUCGAUACUGUAGAGCUUGAGACCGGAAGAGGUAAGUGGAACUGCGAGUGUAGAGGUGAAAUUCGUAGAUAUUCGCAAGAACACCAGUGGCGAAGGCGGCUUACUGGUCCGGUUCGUGACGCUGAGGCGCGAAAGCGUGGGGAGCAAACAGG